rnacentral:rRNA from 1 species
GACGAACGCUGGCGGCGUGCCUAAUACAUGCAAGUUGAGCGCUGAAGGUUGGUACUUGUACCCACUGGAUGAGCAGCGAACGGGUGAGUAACGCGUAGGGAAUCUGCCUUUGAGCGGGGGACAACAUUUGGAAACGAAUGCUAAUACCGCAUAAAAACUUUAAACACAAGUUUUAAGUUUGAAAGAUGCAAUUGCAUCACUCAAAGAUGAUCCCGCGUUGUAUUAGCUAGUUGGUGAGGUAAAGGCUCACCAAGGCGAUGAUACAUAGCCGACCUGAGAGGGUGAUCGGCCACAUUGGGACUGAGACACGGCCCAAACUCCUACGGGAGGCAGCAGUAGGGAUCUUCGGCAAUGGACGAAAGUCUGACCGAGCAACGCCGCGUGAGUGAAGAAGGUUUUCGGAUCGUAAAACUCUGUUGGUAGAGAAGAACGUUGGUGAGAGUGGAAAGCUCAUCAAGUGACGGUAACUACCCAGAAAGGGACGGCUAACUACGUG